rnacentral:rRNA from 1 species
CCUACGGGUGGCAGCAGUGAGGAAUAUUGGUCAAUGGGCGGAAGCCUGAACCAGCCAAGUAGCGUGAAGGAUGACGGCCCUACGGGUUGUAAACUGCUUUUAUACGGGAAUAACGCGCCUUACGUGUAGGGCUUUGCAGGUACCGUAUGAAUAAGGACCGGCUAAUCCCGUGCCAGCAGCCGCGGUUAUACGGUAGGUCCGGGGGUUAUCCGGAUUUAUUGGGGUUAAAGGGAGCGUUGGCCGCAUGUCAAGCGUGCUGUGAAAUGUCCGGGCUCAACCCGGGCCUUGCAGCGCAAACUGGCGUGCUUGAGUCGGCGGGAAGCAUGCGGAAUUCGUCGUGUAGCGGUGAAAUGCUUAGAUAUGACGAAGAACCCCGAUUGCGAAGGCAGCUUGCUGCAGCGGAACUGACGCUGAUGCUCGAAAGCGCGGGUAUCGAACAGGAUUAGAUACCCCUGUAGUC